AUGGGAAUAGGAGCAGUGCUCACGCAAGCAGGCCACCCUAUUGCAUAUCUUAGCAAAGCCUUGGGUCCACAGGCUUAGGCCUUGUCCACUUAUGAAAAAGAAUGUCUGGCUGUUAUUCUGGCAGUGGACAAAUGGCAAUCUUAUUUGCAUCAUGCUCCUUUCAUUAUAAGUACUGAUCAUAAGAGUUCGCACCACUUAACAGAACAAAAAGUGAGCAAAUCCAUGCAGCAGAAGGCACUUCUCAAGCUUAUGGGAUUUAACUACACUGUGGUGUACAAGAAGGGUGUAACGCCCCGAGACCGUUGCGCCAGGUGUCUUCCAGUUAUUCACUGUUGUUGCCAUCUAAUUUGCUUGCGUGUUGCAUCUUGCCAUGUCAUCAUGUGCAUUGCAUCAUCAUGUUUUCAAAACUUGCAUUAG
rnacentral:rRNA from 1 species